GUGGGGAAUAUUGGACAAUGGGCGAAAGCCUGAUCCAGCCAUGCCGCGUGUGUGAAGAAGGUCUUCGGAUUGUAAAGCACUUUAAGUUGGGAGGAAGGGCAGUAAGUUAAUACCUUGCUGUUUUGACGUUACCGACAGAAUAAGCACCGGCUAACUUCGUGCCAGCAGCCGCGGUAAUACGAAGGGUGCAAGCGUUAAUCGGAAUUACUGGGCGUAAAGCGCGCGUAGGUGGUUUUGUAAGUUGGAGGUGAAAUCCCCGGGCUCAACCUGGGAACUGCCUCCAAAACUGCAUGACUGGAGUACGGUAGGGGGUAGGGGAAUUUCCUGUGUAGCGGUGAAAUGCGUAGAUAUAGGAAGGAACACCAGUGGCGAAGGCGACUACCUGGGCUGAUACUGACACUGAGGUGCGAAAGCGUGGGGAGCAAACAGGAUUAGAAACCCUUGUAGUCC
rnacentral:rRNA from 1 species